GAGGGCCCACGGGAAGCAAUAGAUACACCCACCAGGGAACCUUAUAGGGCUCUUCUAUUUUUUUUGAAAGAGAGGACACACAGAGCUUAACGGGGAGGAUGAUAUACUCCCUCACUGAACACACCAUUUUUCUCCUUCUUUUUUCUUCACAAUUGAGGCAAGACGUGCACGUUCUCAGUACAUAUACGUACACAGACACACAUUGAGAUUGAGAGAGGUGAGGAGGAGAAGAAAAUGAGCAGAGAAGGGAACUGAUCUAGAUUGAGAAAAAAAUAGUAAAGAUUGAAGGCCGAUUUAGUAGAAAAUGGUGUGAGAGAAGAAAAGGAUGAAUGAAGGGGUAGAUCGGGAAUAGGAGGUCAAAAAUGGAGUGUUGAGAGAGAAGUGAAUCCCUGCGUUUAUCACUGUCCCAGUGAAGGGUUCGCUGGAAAACACCAUGUCUAUCGGAAGCUUGUCCCAUUUUUUUCAAUUUUCGUUACUACCGAAGCUCGCCAUAGCUCUGUCGACUCCACAAUAAGAACCCUGCUGCGAAUCUGACCACAACCCCAAUCAAAAAACCAUUAAUUGAAAUGGGUCAGUCAGUUUGUUUGGGCCAGUUUGAAUUUCGGGUUUAAUCGAGUUAGUGGCUCUGUGUUGAGUUCGUUGAAUCGAGGUCUUGAGGUCAGUGGUUUUGUUCGCACAAUUCAAUGAGUUGAAAUAAAAAUGAGGCAAUGCAGUAGAAAGAUGGCUGUCUUGCAUGAGACUUAAAUGGGGUACCAAGAAGAGGAUGUUGCUCUUACUUACUGUUCAAGCAAGAGAACUAGCAGUCUACACUGGUUCUUGUUUUGUAUUUAUGCGCUUGGAAAAAGUAAAAAAGCAUAUUGAAACUACUAGGUCGGGGGCACUGGUGUAUCAACUAUGGACUGCUCGAAACUGGACGCUAUACAAAAACCAUGUUAUAGACAGAGAGACAAUCUUCCAACAAAUGAAGUCAAAGAAAGAGUAGAUAUGCUUAGAAGUUCAAAAGUGCUAGGAGAUGUCUGCUUCGGUCAACAGAUUAUGUAAUUAGUUCUCUUUGUUGAGACUUAAGUUCUUUAGUUUUUUUUCUUGGUAGAAAGUUGUUAUGCUCUUGUAACUUUCUUAUUUUUCUUUAAGUUUCUUUCUGUCAUUAUAAGUUC